rnacentral:rRNA from 1 species
UACGGAGGGAGCUAGCGUUGUUCGGAAUUACUGGGCGUAAAGGGCGCGUAGGCGGCGUAACAAGUCACUUGUGAAAUCUCCGGGCUUAACUCGGAGCGGUCAAGUGAUACUGUUGUGCUAGAGUGCGGAAGGGGCUACUGGAAUUCUCGGUGUAGCGGUGAAAUGCGUAGAUAUCGAGAGGAACACCUGCGGCGAAGGCGGUGCUGGCCGACACGUGACGCUGAUCGCGAACGAGCCAGGGAGCGAACGGG